rnacentral:lncRNA from 1 species
CUCAGGUGAUGUUGUUGCUGUUCCUUUUGCUCAAGGAUGUGGUGCGGCUGUUGGGUGAUGUGGUUGAUGGCCGGAUGGAUCUGCAUCGAUUUCCCCUUGGCGGAGCUUUUCGUCGACGGCGAUGGCGGAUCCAGGAGCUGGACGGGGUGGGGCGUGACCCCGGUCGACGUGCGACCGCUGUAGGCAUCAUCCCAUCUUCUGAGAUGGGUGUCUUCUUCGACUCCUUCAAAAGCUAGAGGGCGAUGGGCCUUCUCCAGCUCAUGGUGGCUCCGGGCGUCUUCUCCGUUGGCGGUGAUCGGCGACGGCGAUGGCGAUUCCGGACUUCGUCGGUUUGCAAGGGAUCUGGGGACUCGGUUGUAAUUUUUUCUUUUCUCGGGGUCCUUUGCGUAGUUUGGCUAGCACAGUUGCUCAUGCAUCCUAGCUUACAGUAUGUCUCUGUAUUUGUACCCGUACUUGUAUGUUUCCCUUAUCUAGAAAUACAGAUACAUGCUUUCAAAAAAAAAACUUAACUAUUUGAUCGAAAGUCACACAUGGCCGGAUAAUAACUUGUGACAUCUGGUCCAGCUCAGUUUGAAAUUUGGCCCAUGUCAACCCAUGCGUACGUUAAUUAGAUAUUAUGGAGCGUUUAGUCUCACGGUGUGGUGGGUUAGACUAAUAUAUAAGAUUUCUAUAGUCUACCAUCCUGCUAUCCCUAGGUUAAUCUGACCUUUUACACAAACCGAGGAUGAAAAUAUAAGUGAGAUAAUGGUAGGUGUAAUUCACUAAGCAUGCAGAGUAAUCUGAAACGUUGCUUAACUCUAGCUCCCAUAUUUUCCAUGCCAACCAUUGAAUUAAGGUCUAUAUAUACUAGCCAUGGUUCCAACCAACCCUUAAUGGUCUCUUUUCUUGUCAAAACUGUUAUAGCGCUAGACUCUUUUCGCUUUCUUGCAGAAAAAAUAAAACAAGAGAGCUCGUAUACUAGCAAGGAACCGUUGCUUAAUAAGCAAUAAUAAAUCAGCCAAAACUGAGCUUAUCGGUCGAAUCUGCCAGUCAUUCAACAGUAUUUUUCUUUUACAAGAAUCAGUCAACCGUAUUUUCUGUCAUGACUUAUCAGCCAAACGAACAAGACGGCGCUUGCAGCACCUUUUAGUGCAUGCACAUUUGAUUGGUUAGCGAGCGCUGUUGUUUCUGAAGCCGUGCUUCCAUGUCCUCCUUUAAGCUGUAUCAACUUGCAGCCCACUCUCAAACCCUGGCAAAUCGGAACAGAAUAUUCAAUAUCCAACCGUUUGCAUUGGUCCCUUGUGAUCUGACCAGCUCAUCUUCUAGGUAAGUUCACUUGGAAUGCGAAACUUUUAUGAAACAAUUUCAUAUUUUGAUUUUGUUUAGCAAAAAGAAAAAAAGGUCUGCUGUAGGGGUCUCGACCCCUCCAGAUCUCUAAAAAAAAGAAAAAAAAGGUCAUUUUCAGCAGUUUGAUAAAAAAAAGCUACUUAAAAAUAAAAAGUUAUCAAAUAUCCUUUGUAACUCAUAAGUAUACGUAGUUGAGAAGAAUUCUAUAUAUCCUCCCUAACUCAUAAGUAUACAUAGUUGAGAGGAACUCUGUAUCCGCUCUUCAUUCGGUGUUUUUCUUGUAACAUCAGACUAAAUUGGACCAAAUAAAGGGUUUUGGAUGAAAAAGUGGUAAGAGAUAAAGAAACUAGUAAAAGAGGAUUGGUUAGUUAGAAACAGUUUUGGGGUUUCCAAAAUCGUUUAGAAAGCUAGUAUAGAAAAUUGUUGUAGAAGGAAAAAUAAAUUUCGAUUGCUAUUUAUUUUGUUAAGUCGCUAAAAUUAUUGAUUUAGCAAAUUAAUUAUAGAAAACACCUAAUUCUGAUCAGAAAACCCUCAGGUUCUUGCAAAUAUGACUGGUUGCUAUAUGUCAAUGUGUUUGUACAAGUGGAUAUUCAAGGUCAUUAUUGUAUACAUAGAUGAACUAAAAGAGCCAACAUAGUUCGAUGUAUAGAUUUCCAUCUGGCCCGCGGCCCGUUAGCACAGCCCGCGGCCCAUCAAUUUGGCCCGGCACGGGCACGGCCUGACACGGUGGCUGACGGGCCUCGGGCGGCACGGCACGGGGGGUAGGCCGUGCCAUGGGCCGCCACCUCAGCACGUGGCCCGGCACGGGCACGGCCCGCUUUAGCGCUGCGGCACGACGGCGGCCCGACCCCCCGCUUCAUAUAAAAGCCGGCCCCCCACCCCUCUCGGCCUCUCUAAACCCUAAACGCCCUCACCCGACCCCGCGCCGCAGCUCGCUAUCCAUCUCGGCCUCUCCAAACCCUAAACGCUCUCCGUCUCGAUCUGCCACCAGUCGCCGCUCCGGUGGCCUCACUGGCUCACCGCCGCUCCUCCAUGGCUCCACCUUGAGGUCUGAGCACGCAAACCUUCUCCUCAGUCCUCCCUCCUCCUUUCCGGUUUUCCCCUCCUUCCCUCUCCUCCUCCGGUGAACCAUGUGAGUUCGUGUUGCAUGUUCGUCCCUCUGCCGGCCGCCGGCACUCGUCGUCGUUUCUAAUCGAUCUGUCUCGUCGUUUUUCCUCCGGCUUGCUGGCCUCUUCUUCUCCGGCACCGAGCUCCGGUAGCACAGGUCAGUGUUGAACCCUAACCCUAGAUCUGAAUCUGCUCCGACUCCUUCAUUCCUUCUUGC